rnacentral:rRNA from 1 species
GGCCCAAACUUCUACGGGAGGCUGCAGUAGGGAAUCUUCCACAAUGGGCGAAAGCCUGAUGGAGCAACGCCGCGUGUGUGAUGAAGGCUUUCGGGUCGUAAAGCACUGUUGUAUGGGAAGAACAGCUAGAGUAGGGAAUGACUUUAGUUUGACGGUACCAUACCAGAAAGGGACGGCUAAAUACGUGCCAGCAGCCGCGGUAAUACGUAUGUCCCGAGCGUUAUCCGGAUUUAUUGGGCGUAAAGCGAGCGCAGACGGUUAAUUAAGUCUGAUGUGAAAGCCCGGAGCUCAACUCCGGAAAGGCAUUGGAAACUGGUUAACUUGAGUGCAGUAGAGGUAAGUGGAACUCCAUGUGUAGCGGUGGAAUGCGUAGAUAUAUGGAAGAACACCAGCGGCGAAGGCGGCUUACUGGACUGUAACUGACGUUGAGGCUCGAAAGUGUGGGUAGCAAACAGGAUUAGAUACCCUGGUAGUCCACACCGUAAACGAUGAACACUAGGUGUUAGGAGGUUUCCGCCUCUUAGUGCCGAAGCUAACGCAUUAAGUGUUCCGCCUGGGGAGUACGACCGCAAGGUUGAAACUCAAAGGAAUUGACGGGGACCCGCACAAGCGGUGGAGCAUGUGGUUUAAUUCGAAGCAACGCGAAGAACCUUACCAGGUCUUGACAUCCUUUGAAGCUUUUAGAGAUAGAAGUGUUCUCUUCGGAGACAAAGUGACAGGUGGUGCAUGGUCGUCGUCAGCUCGUGUCGUGAGAUGUUGGGUUAAGUCCCGCAACGAGCGCAACCCUUAUUGUUAGUUGCCAGCAUUCAGAUGGGCACUCUAGCGAGACUGCCGGUGACAAACCGGAGGAAGGCGGGGACGACGUCAGAUCAUCAUGCCCCUUAUGACCUGGGCUACACACGUGCUACAAUGGCGUAUACAACGAGUUGCCAACCUGUGAAGGUGAGCUAAUCUCUUAAAGUACGUCUCAGUUCGGACUGCAGUCUGCAACUCGACUGCACGAAGUCGGAAUCGCUAGUAAUCGCGGAUCAGCACGCCGCGGUGAAUACGUUCCCGGGUCUUGUACACACCGCCCGUCACACCAUGGGAGUUUGUAAUGCCCAAAGCCGGUGGCCUAACCGUAAGGAGGGAACC